GGGGGUGUAACUCAGUUGGUUAAGAGUGCCUGUCUGUCGAACAGGAAGUCGCGAGUUCAAGUCUCGUCAUCCCCGCCU
rnacentral:tRNA from 1 species